GUUGAGUAAAGCAGGAAAGAACUGGACGGUGUGAAACUCUUAUUACUGAUUAAAAAGACACGGCCUGUUCCUUGGGGUUCAAUUGUCUCUGAAGAAUACAUAGCAGAAACUGGAGGAUGUUUCAGAGCUUGGAGAGUGAGAGAGAUGGGGGGCUCACUGUGUUGCCUAGGCUGGUCUCAAACUCCUGGCCUCAAGCUAUCAUUGCACCUCAGCCUCCCAAAGCAAGGGAUCACAGUCUUGCUCUGUCACCCAGGCUGGAGUGUAAUGAUGCAAUCUCAGCUCACUACAACUUCUGACUCUGGGUUCAAGUGAUUCUCCUGCCUCAGCCUCCUCUGUAGCUUGGAUUACGGGUAUGCACACUAUACUCAGCUAAUUUUUGUAUUUUUAGUAGAGAUGGGGUAUCACCAUGUUGGUCAAGCUGGUCUCAAACUCCUGACGUCGUGAUUUGCUCGCCUCAGCCUCCCAAAGUGCUGGAAUUACAGGCAUAAGCCACUGUGCAUGUCCAGUUGUUUCUUUUUAAGGGAACUUAAGACUGUUUUAACUGAGUU
rnacentral:lncRNA from 13 species